GAGCAAAUGCCAGAGAUGACACCCUAUAACGCCCCAGGGAGAGUCCCCCUCCGCUCUUGAAACAAGAGUGGGCUGAUCCAGAGAAAAACAUCCGCGAACGAGCGCUGGAGCCCUCGGGAAAGUUGCUGGCUGGGGUUCGCUGGGGUCAGGGAGGGGGGCCCGCUGUGCGCGUGUGAGUGGCUGCACCCCUCCAUGCUUGCACACUUGCCUCUCCGGGAAGAAUCGGAAGAAUCGGUGUGCCUGCUUGCGUGCCUGCUACUAUUCCAUCGGGUUUUUUGCACACACAGCCAGGGCACGGGGACGAGGUGCCAGUCUUCCAACCUCUAAGCUUGGAAACAGCUGUGGGUUUCAGCUCAGGGAGAGUGGGGUCCUCACUAGCUGAGGCCCCUCUUUAAUGUCCUGACCUAGAUAAUGUGUCUGGCAGGGUCCAGGUCUGAGAGCAGGGGGCAGUUGAAGCUCCUCGGUAAGCAAUGGCCGGCCACCAGAGCUCUCACUUGCCCUGCCUGUGUGUCAACAAUGCCUUGGGCUUGUGUGUCCACGGCUACGGAGCAAAGAUGAAAUUCUUCCUCAUCACCGCCUGCACCUGACAGGGGGACAGGCACACGGAAGUUGACUUAACCCCCCCUGGCUUCUGAGGUCUAAGUGCAGACAAUGUGGGAUAGGUGGGGUUCAAGGAAGACUUCACGCUUGAGAAUAGGGCAAGGGGACAGCCAGAACCAGUGUGGCAUUCACAACACUCAAGUCCAUUAGGGUAGUGUCCUCAUGAGGACAAAAUUGCCUCACCGCAAAACCGUUUAUAAACAACCCCACUGCAACUGAAUUCCAAGAAUGUACUGGUUCAGAGUUUACUGAUUUAGACAUCCUCCUAACUCUUUCCCUAGUUCUGCUAAUGGGCCCAUCCUCUACCAACUCCCCUGUCACCAGUCUGGUGAUGAGACGCGCAGUCCUUCAGUAUCGGUUGCAGAGGAUAUAAAAACGUCUGUAAUGCGAGACAUCUGAUAGUUCCCCAGGGGACUCGUGAUGGGCACAGUUUAACCCCAGGGUGCUGAGUGGAGUCUGGUGAAGGGGAAGACUGCACUGUACCUCAGACCUUCUCGCCUAGAACCGCUGAGCGGCCGGACAGAAAAGAACAGAGAAAGACCUUCUUGCACAAUAAUGCCUGGUGCAGGUGCUUAUAGAGAAUUCUUUAGCGAUGCGGAGACUCAGAGAAAGAUGGUGGAAACAGCUUUCUCCACGACACGCUCUUCCCUCUGUUGGCCAACGUCAUCUAACCCUUACCCCCCGUUCCCCGACGGGGAGUUGCUGUUGCUAACCAACAGCAAGAAGCGAACCCCACUUGCAAGAUCUUGUGCCAGCUAGCCAGAUUGCAACCCUUAAACCAUGCCAUUCCUACCUCCUCCCCAGCGAGAGUAUGAGAGGACAAGCUGCAGCAGGCUGGGAGCCGUCAGAAGUUGUUAAUUAGACACAACGUGUCGUCAUUUGCUCCUUUAACAAUCCCACGUCUGAGAGAGUGAAGUGAGACACCAAAUAAAAGACUGAAAUAAAGCCUCACCUCACCAUCCACCCAAAAA